GGACGGGUAGCUCAGUCGGGUAGAGCGUCGGAUUUCUGGAGUUAAUCCAAAAGAUUUCCGAAGCGCGUGGGUUCGAAUCCCAUCUUGUCCA
rnacentral:tRNA from 1 species